rnacentral:rRNA from 1 species
GAUGAACGCUGGCGGCGUGCCUAAUACAUGCAAGUCGAGCGAACAGACGAGGAGCUUGCUCCUCUGACGUUAGCGGCGGACGGGUGAGUAACACGUGGAUAACCUACCUAUAAGACUGGGAUAACUUCGGGAAACCGGAGCUAAUACCGGAUAAUAUAUUGAACCGCAUGGUUCAAUAGUGAAAGACGGUUUUGCUGUCACUUAUAGAUGGAUCCGCGUCGCAUUAGCUAGUUGGUAAGGUAACGGCUUACCAAGGCAAUGAUGCGUAGCCGACAUGAGAGGAAGAGCAGCCACACUGGAACUGAGACAAGGUACAGACUCCUACGGGAGGCAGCAGUGGGGAAUAGUGGACAAUGGGAGCAAGCCUGAUCGAGCCAUACCGCGUGGGUGAAGAAGGACUUCGGGUCGUAAAGCCCUUUUGUGGGGAAAGAAAAGCAGCAGGCUAAGACCCAGCGGUUCUGACGGUACCAAAAGAAUAAGCACCGGCUAACUUCGUG